GCCCUUGGAAAAUCUGUUUCUUUGGAAUUAAACCUUUUGACCAAGGCCAUAAGGUUUCUUCCAAGCCAUUUGACUGAACCUGCCACCAAAAAUCACUUUGUAAACAAAGAAAAAGGCAGAGGCUGACCCAAGGUCUGCCUUUGCUGGGAGCAGCAGCGAGGUUGACAUAGUUUAGACAAGUCACAGCAGCCAACUUCCCGUCCGGCCCCAUUUCUACUGGGAAGCCCUGUCUCCACCUCGCUAGAAUUCAGGAACAAACCCCAUUCCCUUUUCUAGUCUCUGCCUGUUCUGUGGACUGCUGUGUACAUACUGAUCUCCCCUGUGGGCUGUGAAUUCCUGAAGCAGGAAGUAUAGCCAUCUUGGAAUCACUGGUGUCCUUCCUACUACCUGGAACAGAACAAGUAGCCCUGAACUAUUUGUGGAAUUGAAUUGCUAUCUUACUGCCUCAUCUUGUCUCUUUUUGGAGGAAUUAUACAUUUUUGGAUAGAGCUUCUGCUUCUUUUGUUUCUAUUGUUGCACUUAACACAAGGCUGAAUUUGACCAACUUUUCCACGUACAAAAGCCAAUUUUCAAAUCUGUGAAAUUUGCAGUUAAGAACUAGUGAAACCAAAAAAAAUUAGCCCUUGGCCAUUGGCCCUUUUGCAAAGUCUACAGCAACAAGAACAGGGACCUGGACCAUGACUGCCAGGUAAAAGAAAGAUACACCAGCAUCACUCCCCCUGGGCCUUCUUGUUGCCCAGUACCACCCUUAGAGUUUGGUCACCUCUCCCAUAGAUGAUAGGCAAGGCCCUGUCUUCUUGGGGCUUUGACAGGGAAAGAGAACUAAGACUCAUAUGUCUGAUGUGGAUUUAGGAUCUUUACAGAGAAUGCGGAUGGCCCUAUUCUUCAUCACACUGGAGUUAGGGGAAGAGGGGAAGGGCCAGAAUGCCAGUCAGUGGCAAAGGGGUAGAAAAAGCCAUACUCACCCAGCCCCCCAUGAUAAUAGUGAAUCUAACUCAGUGCAAAGCUGGGUUUCAGGAAGUUUCAAGCAGAUCCCAAGACUCAACCAUCCAACUUAUGAAGUUGUUCAUCCCUACAGAUAUUAAGCUGUGCCCAGGACUCAGUAAGAGAGUAUCUGAGGUGCUCUACAGGACAGCUAUUGAGCAGGAAAAAGGCAGGCCCUAAUGUGUAGCUGGAGGCACAUGAACCAAUUUAAGAGAAUCCGAAGGACCUGCAGAGAAGAGCUGAGACCCUAGGAAGCCUAAGAAGCACUUCUGAAGUUUCAUCUAAAGCUUCUCAGAAGUGAACUAUGUUUUCUGGGCUUCUACCAAGGGCAGCUCUGUGUCGACUCACAGACAGUGGGUGGUCUCCGGCCUGAUUACCAUGGCUCACAGGAAGCUGGGGCCAACCCCCCAGGGCAUCAACUGCAUGGCAGUAAGUUACCGAUUGAGAAUAUCAUUGUCUGACCAGUCUUUGGCAUGAAGAACUCCAAAUAAUAAAUAAAUAAAUGUAAAAAAGUAAAGCUAAACCUCUUGGCACUAUGAUCAAAAACAGCUAGCAGAACUAUGAAACAAAAUGACCAAACCAUGGUAUUGUUUAAUAAAUCUACCUCAGGUCACCAGGACUCAUACUGGUUCUUCCGUUCGUUCAUUGCUUUUUCCCUUCUGUCAAAGCUGUUAAUUAUAUCUUCUAUUAUCAUUAUUAAGUAAUAUAUUUCUGUUGAAUUCUAUAGUUCAGGCUUUGGAAGCCACCCUCCAUUCAAACUGUUUCAUCAUGCGAGCCACGCAUUUUGGCAAACCAAAUGGAGAACCUCAAAUAUCACCUUUAUUCACAAUAAAAGCCUUUUUGAAUCGGCCAACUUGGAAUAGAAGCACUUAGUAAAUUUUUCCCACUAGUUGAUUUUAAAAUAUGAACCAUGACUUUAUCCUGUGGUUAUAUCUGAGAAUCUCUUUUUCUUGGUAGAAUCAAAGAUGUACAAUAAUUCUGGCAUAUCUACAGACACCAGCGGUCAAAACAUUUGUUUUGGAGUUUUCGUUUUAACUUAGAUGAGAUGGAAAUCCAUUUGUAAAUGUAAGCGAUGUUAUGCAUGUGUACAUUUGUAGACAGAUAUAUAAUACGGGAAUCAUGAUAAAUCCUUAUCUUUGCAAUGCACCUUGUAAGUAGAAACAUUGUAGAUAACAGUAGCACCUGAAGAUCUCAAAGACCUGAAUUUCACAAUUUUCCUCAUAUAUUUUUGUAUAUUUAUCCUCAUAUUUGAGCUUUAUGGCAAUUUUGUCAAGUGGUAACAUCAACCCCCACAAAACAGAUGAAGAAGUUAAGGUACAGUGAACCUGGAUGAUUUGACUUCAAAACAAAUUUCCAGUGAAUAUAAAGUACUCAGAUCCUCUAAUUCUCCAAAAUCCUUAUAAGAACCAUGAUUACAAUGUGUUGUUAUAGUAUCCACACAAACACAAACACACAGCCUUCUGACUGGUUUGUUGAAAGGGUCCCAUGAGACUGAUAGGGAAGAAAGUUCUUUAAAGAAAUGAGGGGUCCACUCUGAGGAAGGGUGAUGCGAGAAGCUGUGAUGGUCAGAAGAAGGCACUGUGCCCUCCCAGGAGCCAGCCCUAAGCGAGAGGUUCAUCCUUUGGUGAUGGGAUCUUCUGGUAAUGAGAACAGAAAACUGCUUCAUGCAAAGCACUCUUGGAAACGGAUACAAUUCUGAGUCCAGCUAAAUCUGGUUGAAAAGUUUCAAAUUUCUCUCCACCAUUUGUGCCUGUGAAGCCUCUGAUAUUGGCACAAACACAGCAAUGCUGAGGUCUGUUAGCUUUUGGUCAGAGAAUAUAAAACAGGGCUUCAGAGCAACCCCCAAAGCAGAGCGCUCCAUGAAUACCCCGUACUAUUCGAAUAUUCAUGAUAUUCGUGAUGGCAGGGACGCACCCAGAGGCAGAGGCAGCAAGAGGGUCCCAUGGAGAGCGGCUGGGAGCUGUCUGGCUUUUCUGUUGAGGUGGAUGAGGGGCUCAGAGGAAAUAAGAUCUCCAUAGAGACAGGUCAUCCAAUCCCCAGAGGAGAAGCCCACAUAGCCCUAAGGGUGACAGGGCAGCACUUGGGUGAGCUGUGGAUUCUGCAAAAUUCUAUCCAUCCCAUGUUAAUGAGACAAAAGCCCAGUCCUGCAGCUCAUGCCACUUCGUACACUGGACGUGGAGUUAGCCAUUCACCUGAGUCUAAAGGUGGCAAUGAAGACGCUGAUGCUCAUCAACUUCUACGAAGCAAACAAGAGAGUCCAAUAGCCUUUCAGGAUGGUUGAAUUUAAGAGAAAAAGGACGUGCACCCCAUCAGUCCCCCAUCAGAGAAGACCAUCAGGACAAUGAACUCUCUCAAAUUUAAUUCUACUGAGAAGCACCACAUCCAGGGGCCCUUUGGCCGAAUAUGAAGAUGGGGUACCAUCUUGGUUUGGCACCUUUGCUCUGCUUUCAGUGACCUCCUGGAUCUUGGGUCUUCAGAGCAUAGCUUCCCCCUUUGUGAUGUUGGGAGGCUACUUAACACCCCGAUGGCAGAUUCCUCCUUGAGUAAGGAACGUCAUCUCUCAAGGCUUCAGUCUGCACACCUGGAAAAUGGGGACUACUACUAAUGCCUGCACCAUACGAGCACUGUGCAGAUCAGAUGAGAUAAUGUGGCCGGUCAGAAAUAAUGAACAACUCUACAAAUGUCAGCUGUUUGCCAUGUUAUGGUUGCUUCUUUCCUUCUGUCAGCUUCUUGCUUAUCUAAGCCUGGUCAGGGGAGGCUAUCCUUGUUUUUCACCAAAUGUAAUGAUUCAACAAGUGUUUCACAUGUCACUGUUAUAUGCUAGCCUGCUUUUGUGGUCUUUAAUAAACGCUUA